CGUCCAUCGAUUUCUCUGUCGACGGCGUACCAACGCCACAAAAAUACCGCAGAAUACCAACUUCCCUUCUCUCGUGUUCUUACGUGGAAAGUAAAGAAACUUUCGUAUCGCCUGAACUUUCCUAGAACUUUCAAUAUUGGACCAACGAUUAGAAUAUAUCCGUGUCAUUCACCGAUGGUCUUUAAAAUAUUUGUACUUUUUUUUCUCAUUAAGCGUUUCAAACUUUAACGAAAGUUUAUUUCAAUUGGAAAAAUGGAGUAUCUGCGAAAAUACGUGAAACGAGUUCCUGUGUACUUUUUAAU
rnacentral:misc_RNA from 1 species